UUCGGGAGCUGUCAGGUGCUGCAUGGCUGUCGUCAGCUCGUGUCGUGAGAUGUUCGGUUAAGUCCGCUAACGAGCGCAACCCUCGCUGUGUGUUACAAGUGUCACACGGAACUGCCGGUCAUAAACCGGAGGAAGGUGGGGAUGACGUCAAGUCAGCAUGGCCUUUAUAUCCUGGGCUACACACACGCUACAAUGGGAAGGGACAAUAGGUUGCGAAGCCGCGAGGUGGAGCCAAUCCAGCAAAACUUCCCUCAGUUCAGAUUGCAGGCUGCAACUCGCCUGCAUGAAGUUGGAGUUGCUAGUAAACGCAGGUCAGCCAUACUGCGUUGAAUACGUUCCCGGGGCUU
rnacentral:rRNA from 1 species